rnacentral:siRNA from 1 species
UGGGUCUGCCUAUGGUGGCCAC